AGAAGCCUGGUGGAUGUUUGUUUGCAGUCUGAUGAUGGGACAUCAUGCUCUGCAUCUUCAAAGUUUGUCUCUUGAUUAUUAUUCAUACACAGUAAUGUGAAGUAUGCUUAUAUCUAGUAUAACUGGACCACCCUGGUGCUCUUCAUUUAUGGAGGCUGUUGAGUCUGAAUGUUGGAUGUUGUGUAUCUCGUGUUCUCUGGGCUUUGUUGUCCUCAGUCUUUUUGCAGGAUCAGAAAACAAAACCAGGAUGACCAUAAAUGUUUCUUCUCCAAUUGGAUGAUGAUAAGACUGUGACACGGGAUGCCACCUUUAGUCUUGUGAUGAAGCAAAGCUCAGGAAGAAGUGUGAUUAAAUGGUACCCACAUGUGUGCUGCUGAGAAGGAUGUACAGGGGCACCUGCAGCCAAAUCCAAGCCUCCUCAGCAACUUCAGGUCUGUCAGCGUGCUGACGUCACAGAAACAAGAAAAGCAGCUUCAGACUUCAGAGUGUUGUUUAUAGUUUUCUGUCAUCAUGAUCUCCCCUGAAGUUUAUCAAGCAAGCAGAGCGGCAGUUUGUGCUCACAGAUGGUGACGGUGUGGAGAGAUGGUGGUGUUUCCUCAGAAGAACUAGCAGAGUCACAAAGGGCACGAGUCCAUCUCACCACCUUGACUUGUUGAUCAGUGGAUACACUUGUCUCCCCUUUAAAGGAGAUACUC